rfam:Pseudomonas stutzeri A1501, complete genome.
GUAUUUCAGAAUUGGCACAGGCUCUGCAAAGCAAACGUCGAAGAUGACAUACGACCUGACCCUCAACGUGGAGCGGCAGGUUUCCCGACUGAGCGGGACACGGACAAAGGCGUCCUCACCGGAGAACCGGUGGGACGCC